UCAAGUUAAUAAGAGCACUAGGCGGAUGCCUAGGCACCAAGAGGCGAAGAAGGACGUGACAAGCUGCGAAAAGCUACGGUAAGGUGCAAGUAACCGAUAACCCGUAGAUCUCCGAAUGGGGCAACCCACCGCAGAAGCGGAAUCUUUAUAUGAAUAAAUAGUAUAAAGAAGCGAACCUGGCGAACUGAAACAUCUAAGUAGCCAGAGGAAAAGAAAGAAACAUCGAUAUCCUAAGUAGCGGCGAGCGAACGGGAUAGAGCCCAACCGUGCAGAGAGCAAAAAUAGUUAGUCGAAGGACCUGGGAAGGUCCACCAAAGAAGGUAACAGUCCCGUAGACGAAAACGACGAUAGCCAGCACAAAAGAGUACCACGAGGCACGAGAAACCUUGUGGGAACACAGGGGGACCACCCCCUAAGGCUAAAUACUACUUGGUGACCGAUAGCGAACAAGUACCGUGAGGGAAAGGUGAAAAGAGGUUAAGAAAUUAAGUUUCGAAGCCGUAGAGAAAUCGAGUCUUAAAAGGGCGUAAGUUAUUUGUCAUAGACCCGAAACCGUGUGAUCUAUCCUUGGGCAGGGUGAAGUUAAAGUAAAAUUUAAUGGAGGCCCGAACCGGGUAACGUUUAAAAGUUAUCGGAUGACCUGAGGAUAGGGGUGAAAAGCCAAACGAACACGGAGAUAGCUGGUUCUCCUCGAAAUAGCUUUAGGGCUAGCCUUUAGUAGAAGUGACGCGGGGGUAGAGCACUGAAUAGUCAAGGGGCGUUAAACGUUACCGAGACCUAUCAAACUCCGAAUACCGAAUCACAAACUAAGGAGUCAGACUAUGUGGGAUGAGCUUCAUAGUCGAAAGGGAAAGAGCCCAGACCACCAGCUAAGGUCCCAAAAUACUGAUUAAGUGGAAAAGGAUGUGGAGUUACUGAGACAACUAGGAUGUUGGCUUAGAAGCAGCCAUGCAUUCAAAGAGUGCGUAAUAGCUCACUAGUCAAGUGACUCUGCGCCGAAGAUAACCGGGGCUAAAUCAGAUACCGAAGCUGUGGAAUUACAAACGUAAUUGGUAGAGGAGCAAUGUAUGCAGGAAGAAGCAGAAGCCGUAAGGCACUGUGGACAGCAUACAAGAGAGAAUGCUGGCAUGAGUAGCGAGAGGUGAGUGAGAAUCUCACCCGUCGAAAACCCAAGGAUUCCUGAGGAAGGCUCGUCCACUCAGGGUAUCGAUGGACAACAGGUUGAAAAUCCUGUACCGAUAUCAAGCGCAAAAAAGUAAGUGGGGACGCAGGAGGAUAAGCGUAGCGCCCAGUUGGUGAGGCGUACAAGCACAAAGUCUGGAAAGUAGGCAAAUCCGCUUUCCAUAAAGGAUGAAGUGUGAUGUGGAUCGAAAAUAAGUAGAGAAGGAGCCGACUCCACACUGCCAAGAAAAGCCACUAUCAAGUAAGAUAUCGCCCGUACCGAAAACCGACACAGGUAGGAGAGGAGAGAAUCCUAAGACGCGCGGAAGAACCUUUGUUAAGGAACUCGGCAAAAUGACCCCGUAAGUUAGCGAGAAGGGGAGCCUAACCAGAAAUGGAAGGCCGCAGUGAAAAGGCCCAAGCGACUGUUUACCAAAAACACAAGUCUCUGCAAAGUCGAAAGACGAAGUAUAGGGGCUGACACCUGCCCGGUGCUGGAAGGUUAAGGGAAAGAGUUAGCUUAAAGCGAAGCUCAGAACUGAAGCCCCAGUAAACGGCGGCCGUAACUAUAACGGUCCUAAGGUAGCGAAAUUCCUUGUCGGGUAAGUUCCGACCCGCACGAAAGGUGUAACG
rnacentral:rRNA from 1 species